AGAUAGAGAGAGAGAGAGAAAACGUGUGUCUCAUGUUAGAGCAAACUGUGCCUUCUAACCAUUGCCCCGCCCCUGUGCCUAUAGGCUGCUGGCACUGAAGCGGGUUACACAGUG